CACGAACGCUGGCGGCAUGCCUAACACAUGCAAGUCGAACGAAGCCUUCGGGCUUAGUGGCGCACGGGUGCGUAACGCGUGGGAAUCUGCCCUUGGGUUCGGAAUAACAGUUAGAAAUGACUGCUAAUACCGGAUGAUGUCUUCGGACCAAAGAUUUAUCGCCCAAGGAUGAGCCCGCGUAGGAUUAGGUAGUUGGUGGGGUAAUGGCCCACCAAGCCGACGAUCCUUAGCUGGUCUGAGAGGAUGAUCAGCCACACUGGGACUGAGACACGGCCCAGACUCCUACGGGAGGCAGCAGUGGGGAAUAUUGGACAAUGGGCGAAAGCCUGAUCCAGCAAUGCCGCGUGAGUGAUGAAGGCCUUAGGGUUGUAAAGCUCUUUUACCAGGGAUGAUAAUGACAGUACCUGGAGAAUAAGCUCCGGCCAACUCCGUGCCAGCCGCCGCCGUAAAAC
rnacentral:rRNA from 1 species